UGGCGGCAGGCCUAACACAUGCAAGUCGAGCGGUAACAGUUUCUAGCUUGCUAGAAGAUGACGAGCGGCGGACGGGUGAGUAACGCGUAGAAAUCUACCUAGUAGUGGGGGAUAGCCCAGAGAAAUUUGGAUUAAUACCGCAUACGCCCUACGGGGGAAAGCGGGGGAUCUUCGGACCUCGUGCUAUUAGAUGAGUCUGCGUCGGAUUAGCUUGUUGGUGAGGUAAUGGCUCACCAAGGCGACGAUCCGUAGCUGGUCUGAGAGGAUGACCAGCCACACUGGAACUGAGACACGGUCCAGACUCCUACGGGAGGCAGCAGUGGGGAAUAUUGCACAAUGGGCGCAAGCCUGAUGCAGCCAUGCCGCGUGUGUGAAGAAGGCCUUAGGGUUGUAAAGCACUUUCAGCAGUGAGGAAAGGGGUGUCGUUAAUAGCGCCAUCCUGUGACGUUAACUGCAGAAGAAGGACCGGCUAACUCCGUG
rnacentral:rRNA from 1 species